rnacentral:misc_RNA from 1 species
GAAAAUAAUAUCUAUAAGCACAAGCUUCAUGUACAAACCCUCUCAGCACCUUCCCAUUAUGUGACUCGUUCACUCUCCGGCCGGCCCCCUCUUAUACUUGCUCAAGAAUAAAUAAAGGGAGAUGGGUUGGUCGAUCAUCAUCAAGAAAGAUUGCUCUCAUCAAUUCUCUCCAUCAAGAAUUGUGGAAGCAAUGGAGGUGUAAGUUGAAGAAUGAACCUGAAUCGCCUUCUCAAUGGCGGUUUCUCUUAUAGGGCU